rnacentral:rRNA from 1 species
GACGAACGCUGGCGGCGUGCUUAACACAUGCAAGUCGAACGGAAAGGCCCUGCUUUUGUGGGGUGCUCGAGUGGCGAACGGGUGAGUAACACGUGAGUAACCUGCCCUUGACUUUGGGAUAACUUCAGGAAACUGGGGCUAAUACCGGAUAGGAGCUCCUGCUGCAUGGUGGGGGUUGGAAAGUUUCGGCGGUUGGGGAUGGACUCGCGGCUUAUCAGCUUGUUGGUGGGGUAGUGGCUUACCAAGGCUUUGACGGGUAGCCGGCCUGAGAGGGUGACCGGCCAAAAUGGGACUGAGAAAAGGACCAGAAUACUAAGGGAGGGAGCAGGGGGGAAUAGUGCACAAUGGGCGGAAGGCUGAUGCAGCAAAGGCGGGGGCGGGAAGAAGGGCUUCGGGUUGGAAAACGAGUUAGACUGUGAAGAAGAGUGAGGGACGGGAAUGGGUAAAGAAGCAACGGCUAACUACGUG